rnacentral:lncRNA from 1 species
AGCACGAGAUUCAAGAGGAAGAAAUAAAGAAAGAGCGAACAUCGCACCGCUGAAAAACGGAGUUGUUGCAGCAGCGAUGCAUAAGCAAAAUGGUUAGUUUCUAUUUUCUCCCUUUAUGUUUUUUCUAUAAUCCUUUGCCAUCGAUUGAUUUUCCAUGUUUAGGUUGCAGUCUUUAAAUUUGAUUUUGAAGAAACACAUGGUUAUUACAGUGGAAAACAUAUGGGAGAAGACAACUAACAAGGCUUAGAGCAUUCACAUGCAUAAUACCAGCGGCGGUUAUAAGGCCCGGCGACCCCAGACACUCGCCCGGUUUCGGGCCAAAUUUUUUGCAAUUUCUUGUGUAAAUCCCUAUGAAUUUCUUAUAUAAAUCCCUAUAAAUUGGGCAAUUUCUUUACAUUUUUUAUUAUUUGCUUGCAAUUUCUUAUGUACGCCCUAUAAAUGUGUUGCAAAUUUUUUUUUUGCCCAGGCUUUACAAUAUUCCUAGUUCCGCCACUGCAUAAUACAACAAUCAAC